GAAAAUGCAUUUUUUUGCACACACACAAAAGUUCACGGGACAGAAAUGGUGGGGAAGACAUGCAACUCGGGAGCCUCUGUACUCACCCUUCACAUAAGUUCUUCCUCUACUACUACAGUUGUAUCCUUGCUUUGGGUCAUAUCUUUUGAUCAUCCUUUCCAACACACUGCUAUCAAAACCACAGCCUGAUGACCUCAAAGGAUUUAUCUGCUUUAUACCUCCAUGGGUCUCCCGCCUCCCAAUGUGUGAUUUUCCACGCAACAGUCAUUUCGCUUCCAACUGAACUCUGGCUUCCAUUUCUCCCUUCCUCCUCCUCCUCUGUGUUUUGAGUGGGGUAGGGAAAGCUUUUGCAAGGCAAUGAAUUAGGGCUGGUUUUUGAAGUGCCCAGCUGCAGUUCUGAGCUGGCGGAGGCGCAAGAAGCCUGAGCUGAAAAGAGGCAGCAGCCGUUUUCAAGCGUGCUUUGCAUUUGGCUGCUCUCGGGUUCUUCUGAGACAAGACGUCACGAGCGAGAGCCAACAGUGACCUUCUGUACUCAAGAGAGUGCCAGCCGAAUGACUGGAAUUCUUAGUUUUUCAGCUUCGAGCGACAGCUCUCCCAAGGAAAUACGUCUCCUAAGGAGAAGUGGGCUUCCGAGGCUUGUUUGUGGCUCAGGUUGAUCUGGGAAGGCAGUGCACACUGAGUGCAAAUGCUAUGCAGAUCUAGUAUUUCGCAUCCUGGAAAUUGGCUGUAUGUGUGUGCGUGAGAGAGAGACAGAGAGAGAGAUUAUUUGAGCAAUUCUUGCUGGAUCUGCAGAUGCUGCAAGACGAGCAAACGGUGCCCUCAAAAGCUACAUGGGGCUCAGCAGAUCAGCAUGUUUUGCAUGCAAAAGGUCCCAGGAGCCUCCCCCCACCCUCUGUGAGAUUAUAUAAUAAAAGCGACGGAUUGAUUUUGGGAGACAAGGAAGCUCUUCAUAUCAUUCGACAGCGAUGACUCACAAGCUGGAGCUAAACCUUACAUCUCUUCCACUUCCAGCUAAGUUAAAUGUGAGAUUUCAGUUGAUUUUUUUUUAAAAAAAACAUUAGCUGGUUUACUUUAUUGGGAGGUUUCUUGGUAUAUUUGGUUUCCUGGGGGAAGAACAUUCAAAGAUGACUGUUGCAGUGGAAAUUGAUCAGUGCAUGUAGCUUCAGUAGCUUAAGACAACCUCUCUUGAAGUGAGUAAAUUGCCACGAUCUUUCCUAUGAAACUCCCGCCAACCUAGCGGUUCGAAAGCAUGCAAAUGCGAGUAGAUAAAUAGGUACCAUCUCGGUGGGAAGGUAAAUAGCGUUCCGUGUCUAAAUCACACUGGCCAUGUGACCACGGAAAGAUUGUCUUCGGACAAAACGCUGGCUCUAUGGCUUGAAGAGCGGGAUGAGCGCCGCCCCCUAGAGUCGGACACGACUGGACAAAAAUUGUCAAGGGGAACCUUUACCUUUACCUUUACCUUCCUAUGAAACAUUUACAACCUCUCUUGAAGUGAGUAAAUUGCCAUGAUCUUUCCUAUGAAACAUUUAAGAGCUGGUCAGGAUACACCAGUAGCUCUUGCGCUAGUGAAUUAUGCUUCUGAAAUACUCUCUCAGACACUGUAUUGAGUCAAUUUCAUGGUUGUCAAGGUGACUAGGAGUUCUUAAGUGAUAGGAAUCUAUGUAGACAACUCAACGUGUUGGUGGACAAAUGAUGGAUUGCUCUCUUUUUGCUCUUUCUGUCUUACUCUUUUCUGUUGUUUGCUUUAAUCAUCUCUGAUCUAAAUGCUAGGAAGCAGCUCUUGGGUGCUGGGAUGUGCGUGGGCAAAAAAGGCCAAUGAAUUUAAAUCUGUAACUCAACUUCGGCUGAAGUUGUAAGUCAAGGUCUGCUUAAGUCAUCAGCUGACGAUAUCUCCUUAAUUCUAAAGCGCCAGGAUUAAACUCAAAACAAAAUACUUCCAGUAAGUUGUGAGGUAUUGUUUGACCCACAUGCAAAUUCCGGAGUCUUGAGAGUGAGGGUUAGUUUUGUGGUUAGGUUUUCACAUAGACUUCAUUUGUUUCCUGCCGCAAUGGGAAUUCCAGUGUUGCUCCAAUGGCCUUAACCACAGUAAGUCACUCGUGUGUUUUUGUACCAUGGUUUGCCAAAACAGUGUGGGACAUUUUGGGGUCCCAAUAGCUUGGCAAAAAGGAGUACAUUUAUUGGGUUAUAUAUACAAAAACACACGAGUGACGUCUAUAUAAAAUGUCUGCACAGUGUUUGUGUCAAAAAAAAUACCCUAUACAUGACUGAAGCUUGGGGACAAUUCUUAUACCUGCCAAGAUGGACAGUGCUGUGAAAAGUCUUGGUUUUGGCGUAUUCUACAAUAAACCUUACCUUGCCGACA
rnacentral:lncRNA from 1 species